UACGUAGGGUGCGAGCGUUGUCCGGAAUUAUUGGGCGUAAAGAGCUUGUAGGCGGUUUGUCGCGUCUGCUGUGAAAUUUCGGGGCUCAACCCCGAACUUGCAGUGGGUACGGGCAGACUAGAGUGUGGUAGGGGAGACUGGAAUUCCUGGUGUAGCGGUGAAAUGCGCAGAUAUCAGGAGGAACACCGAUGGCGAAGGCAGGUCUCUGGGCCACUACUGACGCUGAGAAGCGAAAGCUGGGGAGCGAACAGG
rnacentral:rRNA from 1 species